UACGUAGGGUGCGAGCGUUGUCCGGAAUUAUUGGGCGUAAAGAGCUCGUAGGCGGUUUGUCGCGUCUGCUGUGAAAACUCGGGGCUUAACUCCGGGCCUGCAGUGGGUACGGGCAGACUAGAGUGAUGUAGGGGAGACUGGAAUUCCUGGUGUAGCGGUGAAAUGCGCAGAUAUCAGGAGGAACACCGAUUGCGAAGGCAGGUCUCUGGGCAUUAACUGACGCUGAGGAGCGAAAGCAUGGGGAGCGAACAGG
rnacentral:rRNA from 1 species